rnacentral:tRNA from 1 species
GAGGGUAUAGCUAACUGGUAAAGUGCAUGCUUAGCAUGCACAAGGUCCUGGGUUUGAUUCCCAGUACUUCCA